rnacentral:rRNA from 1 species
CGCCCUUAGAGUUUGAUCCUGGCUCAGGAUGAACGCUGGCGGCGUGCCUAACACAUGCAAGUCGAGCGAAGCACAUGAAUACUAUUCUUCGGAUGAGGAUUCUUGUGACUGAGCGGCGGACGGGUGAGUAACGCGUGGGCAACCUGCCUUACACGGGGGGAUAACAGUUAAAAAUGACUGCUAAUACCGCAUAAGACCACAAAACCGCGUGGUUUGGUGGUAAAAACUCCGGUGGUGUAAGAUGGGCCCGCGUCUGAUUAGGUAGUUGGGGGGGUAACGGCCUACCAAGCCGACUAUCAGUAGCCGACCUGAGAGGGUGACCGGCCACAUUGGGACUGAGACACGGCCCACACUCCUACGGGAGGCAGCAGUGGGGAAUACUGCACAAUGGGGGAAACCCUGAUGCACCGACGCCGCGUGAGCGAUGAAGUAUUUCGGUAUGUAAAGCUCUAUCAGCAGGAAAAAAAAUGACGGUACCUGACUAAAAAAGCCCCGGCUAACUACGUGCCAGCAGCCGCGGUAAAUACGUAGGGGGGCAAGUGUUAUCCCGGAUUUACUGGGUGUAAAGGGGAGCGUAGACGGUUUGGCCAGCCCAGAUGUGAAAGG